GGUGGCGCUAAAACUAAAACCGAUAUUCGGCAAAGAUGCGGCAGAGAUACCCACGGAGCCGCGAAGACACAGCCAGCACAAUAAGUACAUUCGACAUAGUUUGGUUAAGUAGAAUAGAAGCUGAACCUACGAAACAACCCUAAACCCCUCCUUCUAGAACUUUCAUGUCCAUCUUGCCCUCACAAACCCAAGCGGCAUCUUCGUCUUCUUCCUCUGCGCCAUCUCCCAACCCUAAUCCCCAACAUGGAACCGGAAACCCUAUUCCUCAACCCUUCUCUUCUCUUUCCCCCUCACCAAUCAACCUCGCUUUCGGAUCUCUCCAGAUCUCCGAUACCCCAGGUUCGUCGUCUUCAGCCGCUCAAGAUUCUGGUGGAUCUUCCGGAAAGGUGACAGAAGUAGGGUCUCCAAGUGGAGUGAUGGUUUCACCUGAACAAAACUCUAGAACACGUUCUAGGAGUCACGGGGCAAGAUGGACCCGAACGUGAACUGGAACAGUUUCAUAUCAUAGAAAUCAACAAACUCCUGGGUCCGUCAGUUCUCAUGGAAGUGCCCCUUUGCCGGGGAGAAAAGCUCAGACGGUGAAUGGGAACUACUUGCUGAAUUUUCAAUAUGACCCAAUAUCCCGUUCUCAACCACGGGGUCCUCCUCCUCCUCCUACAACAAGAAGGCAUCGGAAGAGGAAGCCGUACAGCAAAGAUUUGUUUUUGCAGGCGAAUUACAAGUUCACGGUACUAGGUUCGGGAAAUUAUUCGCCUGAGUCGAUGGAUCCAGAUAAAAUGUUGCAGUGGGAAGAUAUUAUAUGCGUGACAUAUUUGACCCCUUUUUCAGUUCAGUGUCCAAUUUGUUUGGAGUAUCCCCUGUGUCCGCAGAUAACCUCAUGUGGACAUAUUUUCUGUUUCCCAUGUAUUCUACAGUACUUAUUGAUGGGUGAAGCGGAUCACAAAGGUGAUAGCUGGAAAAGGUGUCCUUUGUGCUUUGUGAUGAUAUCUGCCAAGGAUUUAUAUACGGUGCACAUCACAAAUGUCAAACAGUAUCAAGUACGAGAUAAUGCUGAGUUCACCUUUUUAACGCGGAAAAAGGAUUCCUUUACUCUGUCACUUAAAAAUAAACAAGAGACAAAUAUCACAUCACGUGCCAAUGAAGAUAUCUGCGAUCCCUUUUCUAAGUUCACUCUUACAUCAGAUGUAGAUCUCUCGGUGAGACAUGCAAUAUCUGAUCUAGAUGGUUGGCUAGCCAGAGCUGAUUCAGGUCUUGUUGAUGACCUGGAGAAGCUUCCUUAUGUUUGUGCUGCAAUGCAACAAUUAGAACAGAGGAAGAGGUAUUGGAGUGAGCUCAGGUCUCAUGACAGUGAAAAAUCUUCUAAGCUUAAUGAUUACGAACAUCAGAUACCGUCAACAGUUGCAAAUUCUGUGGAUAGUGACGAUGAAAACUGUUCUAAUGGAUCAAGAACUUCCUCUUCUGAUUUCCUUGAUCAAAAUAAGGUUAUGAUGUUGGAUAAGUCAACUGCCGGAAUCUGUUUGGAUCAAAAGUUGGAUGUGGAGAAAGAAUUAAUAGAGCAGGAAAUGAAUUUAUCUUCUUCAUAUGAGGAGAAAAACGAUAUUCAAAGGCAUUCAAGUGGUGUUGUUGGAGAUGUGAAGGAAAAUGAUUCAUACAGUUUCUACCAGGCUGCUGAUGGUCAGCAUCUAAUUCUUCAUCCUCUGAAUAUGAAGUGUUUGCUUCACCAUUAUGGGAGCUAUGAUAUGCUUCCUCACAGAAUAAGUGGAAGGAUCCUACAAUUGGAGUCAGUUACUCAGUCUGAGGCCAUCAGGAGGCGCUAUCGAUUCCUUAGUCAUUUUCCAUUAACCACAACCUUUCAGCUUUGUGAAGUUGAUUUGAGUGAGAUGUUGCCUCCUGAAGCAUUUUCCCCAUUUAUGGAUGAAAUCAAGAAGCGUGCAAAUCAGAGGAAGCAACUUGCUAAAAAGGAAAAGAAGGAAAAAAUAAUGGCUGAAGCUACUGCUGCUUAUUCUCUUCCCAUAUCAUUAAGUCAUCAGUUUACUUCUCGCAAUGAUCCUCCGACAUUCUCCAUGGAUGACUUUGAAGCUCUUGGAAAUUCAACCAUAUCAUCAAGUCCUCCCUUAGCUGGGGAGAGAAAAUCGUUCUCAAAUGUUACUAGGCUUGGGUUUGCUGCUGCUCAUGAUUCUCCAUCCUUACAAAUUCAAGAAACUAGUGGUCUGCAUAAUAACAACACAACUGCUGAUUCUUCUGUCACAACAGGUUUGAGAAAUGGGGAGACACAAUCAUACUCCAAUGUUACAUCAAGAACAGAAUCUAAUAUAAGCUCGAAUGCACCAAAGACAAAUGAGUUGGGGAAGAAGGGAAAGAAACCAAAUCGAGUUCUUCUGUCAACAGCUGGUGGUAGGCGCUAUUGAUUUUGGUUGCCGACCCUUACCCUAGAUUAUGCGAGUGUCAAUGAUUCUCAGCCUCCUCCCUGCUAUAGUCCCAAGCCAAACUCUCUGGCAGAUGAUUUCAGUGUAGAGUUAGUAACGUUCUACGGAUCAUAUUUAUGCACCUCUUAACUACUUGUAGGUAGGUAGGCAUGUGUGGAGAGAAUAAAUGUUUUUAGCAAUAAACAAGCCACAACUGUUAGAAGGUCAGUAUAUUGUUUCUGUGGAUCUGUAGAACUGUGCUGGCGUUGGGUAUGUUAAUUAAAUCCAGACUAUGAGCAUUGACUAUACACAAGACAUUUAAAUUUGGAAGCGGGUUUUGUUAACUACAGAUUGAUUUUUUAAACAAAC